ensembl:lincRNA 4933433G15Rik RIKEN cDNA 4933433G15 gene
ACCCCGGCCUCAGCUGAACCACCGCCCAGAGUGUCGUACCAAGUGACCCGACAGGGCGAGCGUCUGAACGGCUGCUGGGUCCCGUGCUGUCGGGAGGAAGUGGGCGAAGGCGAAUAUGCUAGGCCAGAUUGUUGAGCAGAUAAGCUCAGGGUGGUGUUGGGGAGGCCCCUGGGAUCGGUCCCCGGGGUCCGUUGGCUGCUUCCAGAAGCAUCCGCGGUAACCAGGGAGGUGAAUGAGUGAGGGGUCCUGGGAAAACUGAGCAAAAGCUCAGUCAGCAGGGUGGCUGACUUGUUGAGAUCGCUGAGACCAGCCAGAGUUAGACAUAGGCGUGCUGAGAAAGGUAGAUAGCUGCCCUUCCAGUGCUUAGAUGAAAUUUAAGUAUUUAGGAACUUAGAUAUAAAAAGCACAGGGUUUGCCUGGGAGUAGUGGCACAUGAGUUAACUAGUCUAUGUAGUGCCAGGACAGCCUAUGCUAUAUAAUAGACCCUGUCUCAAAAGGCUGGGGGAGCUUGUUGUUGUAACCCUGUGAUCCCUGUCUUGGAGACCAGAAGGAUUAGAAGAUACAGUUAAUCCUUGGCUGCAUAGCUUUGAGGAAGUCCCUGCCUGAAAGCGCGAUAAGGUAUUUGCAAAUUCAUCUUCCUGGAUGAGAAUUUCUUGAAGUCGGUCAUGCGUACAAACCAAGUGUGGUAGUGAACGCUUGUCAUCCCAGCAUUCUGCAGGCUGAGACAGGAGAAUCUUGAGGGCUUCAGAAAUUCACCAGCAUUGCUAAGAAACCGUCUCCCCAGCCCCCAGCCUGGCAUCUCCCCGACCUCUGAAGAAGGGAAGAGUUCAGCCCUCUAGAGUUACAGCCUAAAGAGCUUGAUUCCUCCAAGGCUGAUGAGCUCUGGUGACCAGUGCUGGCCAGACUAUAAUAAUUAAGAACUCAGAGAUAGCGGACAAUGGUGGCACACACCUUUAAUCCCAGCAGAGACAGAUGCAUCUCUAAGUUCGAGGCCAGCCUGGUCUUCGAAGUGAGUUCCAGGACAGCCAGGGCUACACAGAGACACCCUGUCUCUGGGAGGAUGGGCCCUAAAGAUGACUUUGCUGGGCUGGAUUCGGCCCAUCUGGUAUUUUCUGGCUGUGUGAAUAAAACUUCUGGGUUUGACUUGU